UGGAUCUCUAAUCUCUGUAUAAGUACAUGCACAAGCCUUCGCUUCUCCGCACUAUACAGCCUACAGAAAUCGUAGUCUCUACAAAACCACCUAAGAUAAACCCAAUUCUCUGCGUCUGCCUCUCUCUCUCUCUCUCUCUCUCUCUCUCUUCUAUAUUUUCCUCAUCUGGAUGAAUGAAUCAAAGAAGAGAGAAAGAACUUUCGAAGCGGAUUGCAGAAGAAUGCUCUUUAGAUGAGAUCCUCAAUCAAGUUGGAUUUACUGAAUUGUGAUUCGCCAGAGCUUCAAUUAUCUUCAGCUGGAUAAUCAUAUCUCGCCGGAAUCAUCAGUGACGGGAUCAAAUUCAACGCUUUUUCAAUUUGUAGCAAUUGACAUUAACGAGGCAAGCGAUAAGAAAGUUAUCAAACUGUUACUAGAAGGGAACUUUGGCAACUUGGGAUCGUACCAUUCUUUCUCAUCUUGACAGAAAUCUAAUUACCUUAACUUUCGGGCGGUAAACUUCCUCUAUUGGCAGACUAUCAUUCCAGCUCCGAUCUCCGAAGUAUUACGGAAUUUGUUUGGAAUUUCAAAAAUCCCUCUGCUAUUAGUCACAGAAGAAAUGGUUCCAACCAGAUAUCAUGUUGAAUUUGAUCGACCUUGUCAAACGUCCAAUUGAUCGGCACAAUAGAUUGCUGGCCGAAUCCAAUGGCCGUAGGUAUCCUUCUUGUGCGGUGGUGAGGAACAAUGGAGUUUUGCUUAAGACAGAGUAUGGAGAUCUGAACGAUGGUCACAAUAUCACUUCACUUCACUUCUGUUGCAACCAAACAACUCAAAAGGGAAAAAAAAUUUCCUUCCCUUUACUUCACUUCCCUUCCACUUCCCUUUUCCCUUGCAACCAAAAGCAGCCCUAGGAAAAUUAAAUCUGUCCAAAAAAACUACGGUGGUGAAUACAGUUUCAAUCUCUUGUUGAGAAUCAAUUCUCUAGGAAAACUAAAUAUAUCUACGCAAACUGGGGUACACCUUGCUCCACUUCUUCAAAAUGGUUGGAUCCCCUCGCUGUGGCACCUAUGCCCUCACACUUGAACAACAGGGGGUAGUGAAAUGUAGACAUCGACCGUCACCUUGUUGAAAUUGGUCUCACUCUUCUUACCCACAGUUUGGUUCUUGAGCACACUUUGCAUUCGAAACUACGUCAAUUCAUCAACUGCAUGGCCAUCCAAGGUCACUCAAGAUUCAUGACCGUUCAACUUGUUCAUAAUGUCCAAAAAAUUAGAGGGGGUGAAUAGGUUAUUACAAGUGGAUUGCCUCUUUUUAAAACUCAGUGCCCUAUUGUAUGAAAUAAUGUGGAAUAAUGAAAAUGACAAUUUCUUUUUUUUGCUAAAGAUCAUAAACGACUUUCAAUAAAACAAAGAAUGAGAGAUUACAGAGAAAAAUUCUACUGAGCUAAUGGUCCACCUUCAGCAUGGCCAUUAGCAGAACAUGUUAUAUCCGUGCCCUAAAAUUUUCUAUUUUAAUUGUACAAAUGAGGCACCAGAGGACAUCAGUACCAAUGAGUACUGGGUAGCAGCUAUCUUUUUUCGGGAAGGGAAAGACGACCCCACUUGCACCUACUACUCAUGUCUCAAUAAUUGGAAGGGGUUCCAGACACAGAAGAGAAGGUCAGUCCAAACACUCACAUCUCACGAGAAAAUUCCCGAGCUUUAAUAGUAACAAUGUACCAAGAGGUGGGGCCCACACACUGGAAACACCUUGGGAAGGUCCCCUCAACUUAAAGAUCCAUUCCACAUAAAGGGAACCAAUUCAGCCUUCAUCGGUAAACAUCUCUAAUGAGAAUACCGGCCAAAAUCGGGUUAUUUGGUCGCGGGGCCCGACUCCUCGCACCAGUGCACCCCAAACCCAUCCACAAUGAUGGAACAAUAUAUUUGGAAGUUAAUUAAUUCAUCAAGACACCCCGAGGUGGGCCCUUUAGUGCCAAAUGAUGAAUUAACCCAAUAAUGAGUGAAAACCCCAUUAUUUUCCCAAAUAGUCCUUAGGCAACUUAAGUGGUUAUAAAUAGAAGCCUUUACCAUUCAUUUCUCUACCCACCAAAGUAAAAGCAAGAGAAAGGAGAAAGAAGACGAAGAAGAAGAAGGAGCCUACCCAUUGAAGGUAAGUCACCUCUCUCUCUCUGUACCUUCUAGGUAGUUGUCUCUCUCCCAUUUCCACUCUUUAUUAAGCUAGGUAAGGGAACCCCAACCGAGUUCCACCUCCCCACUUACGAAGCCUAUAAAUUGGGAGGGAGAUUUGAUGUUGGAGACUUGCCUUAGCAAGAUCAAUGGUUCAAUUUGAGCCCAUGAACCAUCCUUAGUGAAAUCACCACUUCAAUCCCUUUAGGAAAUUUGGGCAACACAAAACGUAGAAUGGGAAAAUUGCCCAAAUUUCCUAAAACCCACUUUUCCAGUUGUCAAGACUAUCAAUUGGGAGGGGGAUUUGGUGUAAGAGACUUACCCUAGCAAGGUUGGUGGCUCAAUUUGAGUCUAUGAAUUUCCCUUUUGAAAUUCCCACCUAAAAUCCCCAAUUUGAGUAAUCACACCAUAGAAUUAGUGGACUUUGACUAAAUCCUCUACACCUCACCAUUCAAACUCAAAAUUGGGUUGGCAAAAAUGAAAUUAAACAGAUAAAUGUGGCCUAGAGUGGUCACAUAAGCCAUUGGUGGUCACCACAUAAACCCUCAACCAAAAGUCCUUAACUUAGCUAACCGAGACUCGAACUUUGGGGAAUUUGGGUACAUUGUGUAACCCUAUCUUAACUAAGCCACUCAGCACACUAAAUCUAAGCUCAUUGAGGUGGGUGAACAUCCCCUACAUAUAAACCAGCCUUAUAACCAUAAAAGCCUCCAACUCGAGAACGAUUCAAAGAAAAGGAAAAUAGGAAAUGAAGCUAAAACGUGUGCCCUAGGGUCCCACUUCCCUGUGGAUGACUAAUUUGCUCAAAAACCUUAUGUAUCCUAGGAGUACAACCAAGAAGUGACAGAACAACGCGGCACGAGGUCAUUGACUGUCCACUGACACUUGAGAUUCAAGAUGUUGAUUCAGGGAACCAUCUGGAGUAUGUAGCUGAAGAGCCGGCUAUCUACGGAGGUAGAAGAGGAGCUAGCUAAGCACAAGGACGGUUGCGUAUGUGAUGACUGUGCAUUUGGAGCACAUUGAGGAUGAGAGUAUCAUUUUCUAUUUUUUAUUCUUUUGUACUUAUCGAAUAUAGCCCUAGGGGCAUAACUGUAAUUAUAUUUCCGCUGUGAAAACAUUCUUUUUGUGUAAUUAUGGUAAAUAUAAAUAGAAAUCACCAGUUGUGUA